rnacentral:lncRNA from 1 species
CAGUAACUUGAAUGCUUAAUGUAGUCUGGGUGGACUGGAUUAUGAUAUGCUUUUGCAUGAAGGGAGUUCCUUAACCUUGACUUUGAAUUAGUUAUAUUAAUUUUUCUCCUUACACCUAGAAGAUCUUGGGCAUCAUCGGAUAAUCUUGCUCAUGGGUAUCUUGAUAUUAUGAUUGAAAAUUUUGUUAUGCUAGCUUUUCCUGCUGUAGCCGUUCACGUGCAAUCAUGAAAGUAAAUUUAUUAUUUGUGCUGUUGCAGAUGAGCUUGUCCUGUAGGACAGAGUUUUGCCCAUAUCGAAGAGUUGGUCCUUGUUUUUGCCAUUCUUAUUGUUUGACACCUUUAUGUUCCUGAUUACCCUUUUUUUUUACUAGUUCUAUUCCUUUGGGUUAAUCUCUUAAUAAUUCUUUCAACUUGCUUCACCAGAAUAUGUUUUGAUAAGGAAGACAAUGCAGAGCCUCACUUCCGCUGAUACUCUAGGAGUCAAAGCAUGUUGGGAACAACAUGAAUGCUCUGUUUCUAAGUGGUUUUGCAGCUGAUAUGCUGUACUAUGUUUCUUAUCUAUGUUCCAAAAUCUUAUUAAACCUCAUUAGUUCCUGCUGUACCAGUAACCUAGUGACUUCCUUUCAUUUUUUUGAUCAGUACCAAGGUUUUAAAUACCGGUGGGACAGACAGUGGGGACCUUGAGCACGCAAGACAGUCUGGGUGGAUUGGAGCAUGAUAUUUAUUUUUAAUGGAGGGGGUUCCUCAACCUUGAUUGUAGAAUUUGUUUUAUUACUUGUUUUUUUCCUUUCAUGCCGACAGUACAUCUCAUAGGCUAUUUUCUUAUUUCUGAUGUUGCAGAAGAGCUUGUUUGACCGGUAACUUAAAUGCUUAAUGUAGUCUGGGUGGACUGGAGUAUGAUAUGCUUUUGCAUGAAGGGAGUUCCUUAACCUUGACUUUGAAUUAGUUAUAUUAAUUUUCUCCUUACACCUAGAUCUUGGGCAUCAUCGGAUAAUCUUGCUCAUGGGUAUCUUGAUAUUAUGAUUGAAAAGUUUGUUAUGCUAGCUUUUCCCUACUGUAGCCGUUCACGUGCAAUCAUGAAAGUAAAUUUAUUAUUUGUUCUGUUGCAGAUAAGCUUGUCCUGUAGGACAGAGUUUUGCCCAUAUCGAAGAGUUGGUCCUUGUUUUUGCCAUGCUUAUUGUUUGACACCUUCAUGUUCCUGAUUACCCAUUUUUUUCACUAGUUCUAUUCCUUUGGGUUAAUCUCUUAAUAAUUCUUUCAACUUGCUUCACCAGAAUAUGUUUUGAUCAGGAAGGCAAUGCAGAGCCUCACUUCCGCUGAUCCUCUGGUAGUCAAAGCAUGUGGGAAACAACAUGGAUGCUAUAUUUCUAAGUGGUUUUGCAGCUGAUAUGCUGUGCCAUGUUUCUUAUCUAUGUUCCAAAAUCUUAUUAAACCUCAUUAAUUUCUGUUGUACCAGUAACCUAGUGACUUCCUUUCAUUUGUUUGAUCAGUACCAAGGUUUUAAAUACCGGUGGGACAGUGGGGACCUUGAGCACUCAAGACAGUCAGGGUGGAUUGGAGCAUGAUAUGUAUUCUUAAUGGAGGGGGUUCUUCAACCUUGAUUGUAGAAUUUGUUCUAUUACAUUUUUUUUCCUUUCAUGCCUACAGUGCAUGUCAUAGGCUAGUUUCUUAUUUCUGAUGUUGCAAAAGAGCUUGUUUGACCAGUUACUUGAAUGCUUAAUGUAGUCUGGGUGGACUGGAGUAUGAUAUGCUUUUGCAUGAAGGGAGUUUCUUAACCUUGACUUUGAAUUAGUUAUAUUAAUUUUCUCCUUACACCUAGAAGAUCUUGGGCAUCGUCGGAUAAUCUUGCUCAUAGGUCUCUUGAUAUUAUGAUUGAAAAGUUUGUUAUGCUAGCUUUUCCCUAGUGUAGCCGUUCACGUGCAAUCAUGAAAGUAAAUUUAUUAUUUGUUCUGUUUCAGAUGAGCUUGUCCUGUAUGACAGAGUUUUGCCCAUAUCAAAAAGCUGGUCAUUGUUUUUGCCAUACUUAUUGUUUGACACCUUCAUGUUCUUGAUUACCCUUUUUUUUCACUAGUUCUAUUCCUUUGGGUUGAUCUCUUAAUAAUUCUUUCAACUUGCUUCACCAGAAUAUGUUUUGAUCAGGAAGGCAAUGCAGAGCCUCACUUCUGCUGAUACUCUAGGAGUCAAAGCAUGUUGGGAACAACAUGGAUGCUAUGUUUCUAAGUGGUUUUGCAGCUGAUAUGCUGUACUAUGUUUCUUAUCUAUGCUCCAAAAUCUUAUUAAAUCUCAUUAGUUCCUAUUUGACCAAUAACCUAGUGACUUCCUUUCAUUUGUUUGAUCAAUACCAAGGUUUUUUAUACCGGUGGGACAGUGGGGAC